AACGAACGCUGGCGGCGUGCCUAACACAUGCAAGUCGUGCGAGAAAGUUCCUUCGGGAGCGAGUAAAGCGGCGCACGGGUGAGUAACACGUAGGUAACCUGCCCCCCAGUCUGGAACAACUAGAGGAAACUCUAGCUAAUGCCGGAUAAGACCACGGCCCCCUCGGGGGCUGCGGCCAAAGAUGGCCUCUACUUGUACGCUAUCGCUGAGGGAUGGGCCUGCGGGCCAUUAGCUUGUUGGUGAGGUAACGGCUCACCAAGGCUGUGAUGGCUAGCUGGUCUGAGAGGAUGACCAGCCACACUGGGACUGAGACACGGCCCAGACUCCUACGGGAGGCAGCAGUGGGGAAUAUUGCGCAAUGGGCGAAAGCCUGACGCAGCGACGCCGCGUGGGUGAUGAAGGCCUUCGGGUCGG
rnacentral:rRNA from 1 species